rnacentral:rRNA from 1 species
AAUCCGUGCUAGAAACGAUGAUGUUGGUCCCGCACAUGUAACUAGUGUUAAAAUAGAGCUUUGCUCGUAAACCAAAUCAGGUGGACUUGGUUAACCUUGCGGAAAUGCUGGGUUGGCUUGUCUACGAAUUGUAAUAAUUAUAUGCGCGGGGGUGAAUCCUUUGCAGACGACUUGAAUGGGAACGGGGUACUGUAAGCGGUAGAGUAGCCUUGUUGCUACGAUCCGCUGAGGUUAAGCCCUUGUUCUAAAGAUUUGU